AGUGCUAGAUAAAUAACGUGACACUGGAGCUCUGGUUUGUACUAAUGACUUCCCUCCCUAUUUCUAAUCAUAUGUUUCAGCCACUCCAUUUUACACCAAGGAUCCCUGCUCAUUUCACUAAGUGUGUGGAAGCUUAUUUUGCAGAGUGUGUGUGUGUAUGUGUGUGUGUGUGUGUGUGUGUCUGUCUGCUGGGAGCUGACGGGUGGCCAUCUGUUGAGGGUAGAGUGGGUGGGGGGUUGCUGUUGCUCUGGCAGGUGAAUGUAGAUUCAUGGUGAAUACAAAUGAGACUCUCUCCCUCUCUCUUUCCCUCGCUCCUUCGUUCCCUCGCUUCCUCGCAGACGUGUACAAACACGGGCCCAUAUGGAUAUGCACCUUACACAUAUACACACCGCAUACCUCCACACUAUAUACAGCCUCACUGAGAUCCAGGCCUCUGCAACAGCUGCUUCAUAUACAUACACAAACAGAGAUGGGAGAUUACUACAUUCCAGCAUCGUGAGCUGUUUGCAAGUAAACACACGCAGAAUUAACAGUUCAGUCAAAAAAAAUUUUCUUGAGCACGAAGCACUGGAGAAGCACAGCAAC